rnacentral:rRNA from 1 species
UACAGAGGUCUCAAGCGUUGUUCGGAUUCAUUGGGCGUAAAGGGUGCGUAGGCGGCGCGGUAAGUCGGGUGUGAAAUCUCGGAGCUUAACUCCGAAACUGCAUUCGAUAUUGCCGUGCUUGAGGACUGGAGAGGAGACUGGAAUUUACGGUGUAGCGGUGAAAUGCGUAGAUAUCGUAAGGAAGACCAGUGGCGAAGGCGGGUCUCUGGACAGUUCCUGACGCUGAGGCACGAAGGUCAGGGGAGCAAACAGG